rnacentral:precursor_RNA from 16 species
UCCUGUCCUCAGAUAAAGCCGGCUGCCAUAAACCCGUAGAUCCGAACUUGUGUUGCUUCAGUUCACAAGCUCGUGUCUAUGGGUCUAUGUCAUCAGGGCAACAUCUGCACGUGCAGU